GACGAACGCUGGCGGUGUGCUUAACACAUGCAAGUCGAACGGAAAGGCCCUGCUUUUGUGGGGUGCUCGAGUGGCGAACGGGUGAGUAACACGUGAGUAACCUGCCCUUGACUUUGGGAUAACUUCAGGAAACUGGGGCUAAUACCGGAUAGGAGCUCCUGCUGCAUGGUGGGGGUUGGAAAGUUUCGGCGGUUGGGGAUGGACUCGCGGCUUAUCAGCUUGUUGGUGGGGUAGUGGCUUACCAAGGCUUUGACGGGUAGCCGGCCUGAGAGGGUGACCGGCCACAUUGGGACUGAGAUACGGCCCAGACUCCUACGGGAGGCAGCAGUGGGGAAUAUUGCACAAUGGGCGGAAGCCUGAUGCAGCAACGCCGCGUGCGGGAUGACGGCCUUCGGGUUGUAAACCGCUUUCGCCUGUGACGAAGCGUGAGUGACGGUAAUGGGUAAAGAAGCACCGGCUAACUACGUGCCAGCAGCCGCGGUGAUACGUAGGGUGCGAGCGUUGUCCGGAUUUAUUGGGCGUAAAGGGCUCGUAGGUGGUUGAUCGCGUCGGAAGUGUAAUCUUGGGGCUUAACCCUGAGCGUGCUUUCGAUACGGGUUGACUUGAGGAAGGUAGGGGAGAAUGGAAUUCCUGGUGGAGCGGUGGAAUGCGCAGAUAUCAGGAGGAACACCAGUGGCGAAGGCGGUUCUCUGGGCCUUUCCUGACGCUGAGGAGCGAAAGCGUGGGGAGCGAACAGGCUUAGAUACCUGGUAGUCCACGCUGUAAACGGUGGGUACUAGGUGUGGGGUCCAUUCCACGGGUUCCGUGCCGUAGCUAACGCUUUAAGUACCCCGCCUGGGGAGUACGGCCGCAAGGCUAAAACUCAAAGGAAUUGACGGGGCCCCGCACAAGCGGCGGAGCAUGCGGAUUAAUUCGAUGCAACGCGUAGAACCUUACCUGGGUUUGACAUGGAUCGGGAGUGCUCAGAGAUGGGUGUGCCUCUUUUGGGGUCGGUUCACAGGUGGUGCAUGGCUGUCGUCAGCUCGUGUCGUGAGAUGUUGGGUUAAGUCCCGCAACGAGCGCAACCCUUGUUCACUGUUGCCAGCACGUUAUGGUGGGGACUCAGUGGAGACCGCCGGGGUCAACUCGGAGGAAGGUGGGGAUGACGUCAAGUCAUCAUGCCCCUUAUGUCCAGGGCUUCACGCAUGCUACAAUGGCUGGUACAGAGAGUGGCGAGCCUGUGAGGGUGAGCGAAUCUCGGAAAGCCGGUCUCAGUUCGGAUUGGGGUCUGCAACUCGACCUCAUGAAGUCGGAGUCGCUAGUAAUCGCAGAUCAGCAACGCUGCGGUGAAAAGGUUCCCGGGGCU
rnacentral:rRNA from 1 species